CUUUUCACAAAUGGUUGAACUGUUUCAGACUGCAAGGGCUUUUAAUACUUCUUUAACACUGACAUCGAAGACAACUUCACUUUAUCAACAUUGAUUUGGUGGUAGCCCUUUUCUCCCUGAGAUGGUUUCACUCAUUUACCAGUCAACUUUAUAGGCAGUCCUUUCUGUCCAAAUCGCAUUGUUACUCUUCCUUCCAAGGAGACGACAGUUAAGUGUUGUGAUGAGCUUGAUCAGGUGGCUAAGGUUUCGCUCGAGGUAACUUGAUCACAUUAUGGAUGAAGUUCAAGACAUGCAGAAUGAUACAUUCACUAGUAAAGAAGGAUUUAAAGGCGCUAUAACUAGUCUAAAAUUGGGUUUUAACGUCAUCUUAUAAACGUUAGACCACAAAACAUCCAACAUAAAUUAUUGACCGAUGAUAUUUUUGUAAAUAAAUAAGAAUAUAGACGUCAGUUCGGAGGAUCAUUGACGUCUAUAAUAUACUAGACAUUGGGGUCCCUCCU